rnacentral:rRNA from 1 species
GACGAACGCUGGCGGCGUGCCUAAUACAUGCAAGUCGAGCGAAUCUUUAGAAGCUUGCUUCUGAAGGUUAGCGGCGGACGGGUGAGUAACACGUGGGCAACCUGCCUGUAAGACUGGGAUAACUUCGGGAAACCGGAGCUAAUACCGGAUAAUCCUUUUCCUCACAUGAGGGGAAGCUGAAAGACGGCGCAAGCUGUUACUUACAGAUGGGCCCGCGGCGCAUUAGCUAGUUGGUGAGGUAACGGCUCACCAAGGCGACGAUGCGUAGCCGACCUGAGAGGGUGAUCGGCCACACUGGGACUGAGACACGGCCCAGACUCCUACGGGAGGCAGCAGUAGGGAAUCUUCCACAAUGGACGAAAGUCUGAUGGAGCAACGCCGCGUGAGCGAUGAAGGCCUUCGGGUCGUAAAGCUCUGUUGUUAGGGAAGAAUAAGUAUCGGAGUAACUGCCGGUACCUUGACGGUACCUAACCAGAAAGCCACGGCUAACUACGUGCCAGCAGCCGCGGUAAUACGUAGGUGGCAAGCGUUGUCCGGAAUUAUUGGGCGUAAAGCGCGCGCAGGCGGUCCUUUAAGUCUGAUGUGAAAGCCCACGGCUCAACCGUGGAGGGUCAUUGGAAACUGGGGGACUUGAGUGCAGAAGAGGAAAGUGGAAUUCCACGUGUAGCGGUGAAAUGCGUAGAGAUGUGGAGGAACACCAGUGGCGAAGGCGACUUUCUGGUCUGUAACUGACGCUGAGGCGCGAAAGCGUGGGGAGCAAACAGGAUUAGAUACCCUGUAGUCCACGCCGUAAACGAUG